rnacentral:rRNA from 1 species
AAUGAACGUUGGCGGCGUGGAUUAGGCAUGCAAGUCGUGCGGAAAGGCUCCUUCGGGAGUACUCGAGCGGCGAAAGGGAGAGUAACGCGUGGAUAUCUACCCCCUGGACUGGGACAGCGGCGGGAAACUGCCGGUAAUACCAGAUAAUGUCUGCGGACCAAAGGUGUGAUUCCGCCGGGGGAUGAGUCCGCGUCCUAUUAGCUAGUUGGUGGGGUAACGGCCUACCAAGGCAAAGAUGGGUACCGGGUGUGAGGGCAUGGCCCGGCUCACUGGGACUGAGACACUGCCCAGACACCGACGGGUGGCUGCAGUCGAGAAUCUUCGGCAAUGGGCGAAAGCCUGACCGAGCGACGCCGCGUGCGGAUGAAGGCCUUCGGGUUGUAAACCGCUGUCAGAGGGGAGGAAAUGCAUGAGGGUUCUCUCUCAUGUUUGACCUAUCCUCAGGGGAAGUACGGGCUAAGUUCGUGCCAGCCGCCGCCGUAAAAC